rnacentral:rRNA from 1 species
AGAGUUUGAUCAUGGCUCAGAUAGAACGCUGGCGGUAUGCUUAACACAUGCAAGUCGAACGAGUAGUUACUUCGGUAACGAGAGUGGUGGACGGGUGAGUAACGCGUAGGAAUUUGCCUCAUAGUGGGGGAUAACGUGGGGAAACUCACGUUAAUACCGUAUAUGCCCUAUGGGGGAAAGCGGGGGUUUUUUGGACCUCGCGCUAUGAGAUGAGCCUGCGUUAGAUUAGUUGGUUGGUAGGGUAAAGGCCUACCAAGGUGACGAUCUAUAGCUGGUCUGAGAGGAUGAUCAGCUAUAUUGGGACUGAGACACGGCCUAGACUCCUACGGGAGGCAGCAGUGGGGAAUAUUGGAUAAUGGGCGUAAGCCUGAUCCAGCAAUACUGCGUGUGUGAAGAAGGCCCUAGGGUUGUAAAGCACUUUCAAUGGGGAGGAAAAUAGUUAGCUUAAUAUGCUGACUCUUGACAUUACCCAUAGAAGAAGCACCGGCUAACUCCGUGUUAGCAGUUGUGGUAAUACGGAGGGUGCGAGCGUUAAUCGGAAUUACUGGGCGUAAAGCGUGCGUAGGCGGUUCGUUAAGUCAGAUGUGAAAGCCCCGGGUUUAACCUGGGAACUGCAUUUGAAACUGGCGGACUAGAGUUAGGUAGAGGGGAGUGGAAUUUCAGGUGUAGCGGUGAAAUGCGUAGAUAUCUGAAGGAACACCAGUGGCGAAGGCGACUCCCUGGAUCCAAACUGACGCUGAGGUACGAAAGCGUGGGUAGUAAACAGGAUUAGACAUCCUGGUAGUCCACGCCGUAAAUGAUGUCAACUAGCCGUUGGUUCUAUAUAUAGGAUUAGUGGCGCAGUUAUUGCAUUAAGUUGACCGCCUGGGGAGUACGGCCGCAAGGUUAAAACUCAAAUGAAUUGACGGGGGCCCGUAUAAGCGGUGGAGCAUGUGGUUUAAUUCGAUGCAAUGCGAAGAAUUUUACCUACCCUUGAUAUCCAGAGAAUCUGUUAGAGAUAGCGGAGUGCCUUCGGGAACUCUGAGAUAGGUGCUGUAUGGCUGUCGUCAGCUCGUGUUGUGAGAUGUUGGGUUAAGUCCCGUAACGAGCGUAACCCUUAUCCUUAGUUGCCAGUGUGUUAUGGUGGGAACUUUAGGGAGACUGCCGGUGAUAAACCGGAGGAAGGUGGGGACGACGUUAAGUCAUUAUGGCCCUUAUGGGUAGGGUUAUACACGUGCUACAAUGGCCGGUAUAGAGGGUAGCGAAACUGUGAAGUUAAGCAAAUCCCAGAAAGCCGGUCUUAGUCCGGAUUGGAGUCUGUAAUUUGACUCCAUGAAGUCGGAAUCGCUAGUAAUCGCGAAUUAGAAUGUCGCGGUGAAUAUGUUUUCGGGCCUUGUAUAUAUCGCCCGUCACACCAUGGGAGUGGGUUGCAAAAGAAGUGGGUAGUCUAACCCC